CCCACUUCCUCCAACCAAACACCCAUUAACAUCCUUCGCUACUGUAAUCAGAAACAACACAGUAGUAUUAAAAUAUGAUUUCAUUUGAUCAGAUCAUUAUUGGCAAAAUAAAUCAUUAUUUUUUACUCGAUAUGAAAAAAUUUGAGUGACACAAGGAUAACAUUAAUUGUUGAACGAUGGAUAGGUCAAAAUAUAGCGGCUGCUUUUAGAUUUGAUGUAGAUUAUAACAGAACGGGUCUCAAAGCUAUCAUCAGGUCCUGUUCUAUGACAAACGGUUGUUAAAUAUCUCCAACAGAGCUUUGUUACCCACCACAUCUCUAUCAGAGGAAGAACAUAAUCACCCCGAUAACCUUGUUAAAGUGCGAAAACCCACCAAAUCUUAAUCAACAUACCACACAUUUUGCUUUCCUUUCUAAGGGUAGAUUCAAGUAUCUAAAUCAAUACAUAGCUAGAGAAACAUCACUAAAAGGAGGAGUUCUCAAAAUAAUAAUAAUAAUGAAAAUAAUAAUAAUUUAAAAAAUAAAAUAAAUAAAAAUAAAAAUCAUCAGUAGUUCACCACCAAAAGCAACAGAGUGGACCAAAGGAUGAUUCCUCCUCCAAGGCGGGUGUGGGCCUUCCUGAGCAUGAUGUCAGUCCAGGCCUGAGCCCAGUCCGGCCCACACCCCGCCCAAGUAUAUAUUUAUGAAAAUUUAGCACGGUUGUUAAGCUAGAGAUAUGGGGCUGCCCUUGACCGUAACCUGAGGACCACCAACGAUAAACAUUGGCUGC
rnacentral:lncRNA from 1 species